GCCCCACUGGCGGAACGGUAGACGCGGCAGACUCAAAAUCUGUUGUUCGCAAGAACGUGCUGGUUCAAGUCCGGCGUGGGGCACCA
rnacentral:tRNA from 1 species